rnacentral:rRNA from 1 species
AUGGUAACCAAGGCCUCCUCAACGGUGGUGGUUCACGCCGGCGUGCACCUGUUCAAGGUCGUCGGCCACUCCACCAUCACGGGCAAGAUUAAGCUCACUUCCGACACUUUCCGCGUUGCUGAUCACGACUGGGCUAUCCUGUACUACCCGAACGGCAACCCUAGCGUUGUCGACGACCAGUUCAGUUCGAUUUUCCUUAAGCUGAUGAACGCCGGCGAGGAUAAGGUCACGGCCUACUAUUCCUUCUGCCUUCAGGACCCCGCGGCGCCGGCGACAGGGGAGAAGCACAAAAUCAGUUUGCACACCCCGAAGUUCUCGUCCACUUCGUUGGUCAGGGGUACCGACAAGUUCGUGAGUAAAGCCGACUUGGCCGCGUCCGGGUGCCUCAAGGAUGACUAUCUCGUGAUCAAGUGCACCGUCGAGGUCCCAAUACUGAUGGACGACCGACUGGAGGGCGACGAUAACGACAGCGUCAUCGUGCCACCCGCAGACCUAAGCAAAGAUCUAGCUAAUCUUCUAGACAGCGGCCUCAAGGCGGACUUGACCAUCAAGAUCGGCUGGUUCAAGAGAUUCAAGGUGCACGCGUGCGUACUCGCUGCGCGAUCGCCCGUCUUCCGAGCCAAGCUGUGCGGCACCAUGAUGGAGAGCAGAGGAAGCAGCAUCCUCAUCAAGGACAUAAAUGCAAAGGUUUUCGAGAUUGUGCUGCAUUACAUGUACAAUGAUCGUCUGCCAGAGUCUAUGGAUGAGGCGACGGAAGAGACCACAAACAUGGUGCAGCAUCUGCUCGUCGCGGCUGAUCGUUACGCAAUGGAAAGACUAAAGCUGAUAUGCGAGAUGAGGUUGAGCAAGGCGCUGGAUAUCAACACGGUGGGUUUCACCUUGGAUCUUGCAGAGCAAUACCAUUGUCAGCAGCUCAAGGGUUGCUGUCUCAGGUAUAUGACAAGAAACGGCAAGAGAUUACAAGAAAUCAUAAACACCGAGGGGUUUGCUGAACUAAAGCGAAACCAACCACAGGUCGCAUUCGAUAUUCUUGGACAAGUUAUUGCCUUAAUUACUGGCAACUUAGUCAUGUCAUAUUGA